rnacentral:lncRNA from 10 species
CUUGCCUGUCAUCGUGAGCCCUCAUAGUGAAUGGCAUAGGGGACAAGAUCAGAAAUGCCUGAUCAACAAUAACGGUGAGCAUUUAUUGAGCACGUACUGCACGCCAGGCCAUGUUAUAACCUUACUUCAGCCUCCCGAGUAGCUGGGAUUACAGGCAUGCGCCACCACGCCUGGCUAACUUUGUAUUUUUAGUAGAGACGGGGUUUCUCCAUGUUGGUCAGGCUGGUCUCGAACUCCCAACCUCCGGUGACCCGCUCGCUUCGGCCUCCCAAAGUGCUGGGAUUACAGGCCUGAGAGCCACCGCACCCGGCCGGACCUGGUUCAUUUUAAAAUUGUUGUCUUAAUCUUAGUUGCUUAACUGCUUGCAAUUCUGUGUGUUGGCUGGUGGUUCCUCUGUGGGCUUCCCCUGGGCUUGUGCAUGCGGCUGCUUCUGGCUUUCAGCUGUGCUGGCUGGGCUAAGGUGGCCUCAUUCAUGGUGACAUGGGAUUCAGAUGGGAUCCAGAUGGGAUUCAGAUAGCAGCUGAUUGUUGGCUGGGGCACCUCUGUACUGCAUCUGGGCUCUCAUCAUCCAGAAGGUUAGACUGGCUUCUGUACGUGGUGUUUUCAGCACAGCAUCCAGGAGCCCUAGGCCCAGAUGUCCCAUAAAGUCUCUUUCUCCCAUUUAUUCUAUCUCAAAGCAAGUCAAACACCAGCCCAGGGCUUCCAGGAAACUGCUCCUCGCUCCUUGUUGGCCCACAGACUUCAUUUGUACUCACUAGCAGAGGGAUAAGAUUACUCUUUGACUCAUCCGGCCCUCCAAGGCAGGGCAGGGAAUGGGGUCACUUACCUAAGGCACCUGGGUUGCCUGCAUGCCCGUUAGGAGGAGACAGAUCAAGCACGUAGUCACGCUGCGCUGUGUUGCUUCCCUCCGCUUCUUUUGCUCCUGGGUAAAUAGGGCGGGGGAGGUGAGAUUGGAAGGAUGCCAGGAAUCUUGGGCCCAGCUGCUGCUUUAUGACUUAGGGAUAUAACUGCUUCUGACUCAUGCGUGCUUGGCUCUUUGUGAUUAUGUGCUGAGACACGUCAGCGGGAGGCUGCCCCGGAAUGUCUCCCCAUGCGAAUCGAGGGUGGGGCCUCUGCUGAGUCACCUCUGGCUCCUAGAAGCCUGGCUCAGGGUCAGCUCAUUUGAAAAGCGGCUGCCUUUUCUUCUUUUCUCUUCUCUUCUCUUUUUUUUUCUCUCUCUCUUUCAUUCACAUUAUAGCUUGAGUCAGAACUUCAUUCCUUUUUAAGGCUGAAGGACCACAUUUUGCUUGUUUGUUCAUGUGAUCGAUGAUGAUGGACACUUAGGUUGUUUCCACUUUUUAGCUAUCGUAAACACUGUUGCUAAUGGAAUAUGGGUGUACAAAUAUUUCUUCAAGAUCUUGCUUUCAAUUCUUUUGGGUAUAUACCCAGAAGUGGAACUGCUGCAUCAUAUGGAAUCCAUUCCCAGGGAAAUUCUCACCACAUAGCACAUGAACACAGGUGCCAGGAUGCAGCUGCACCUUCCUUUGUGGAGCAAAAACUUGGAAAUAUCCUUAAAAGUGAUUAAGUAAAUCAGAGUAUGAACUGUGCUCUGGAGUGCAAGACCGCGGACUAUGGCUUUCUGGAUUCUCUGGUGACACCUGCUGGCACAAAGGGAUACUGCAGCCCAGCUUGGAAGAGGAAAUGUGGACACAGACACAAACAGAGGGAGGGCCAUGUGAGCCCAGAGCAAGAAGGCGGCCAUCUACAAGCCCCGGAGCGAGGCUGCGGGAGAAGCCAGCCCCGCUCACACCUUGACAACAAUCUCUGUUGAUUAAACCACACAGUCUGCAGUCCUCUAUUACGGUGAGCCCUGCCAGCUGAGAUGGGGUUGACGUGGGAAUACAGCUGGGCACACAGGAGGCCCUCAGUGGAGGCUGGUUUCUUUGGCCCAGUGCCACAUGGAGCCCGUCCACUGGCUGAGCUGGGGGCCUGAUUGUGGCCACUCAACGUCUCUGUAAAGCUCAGGGUCUGCCUUGAGAUCCUGCACUUACCACGGAGUGGCCCUGCCUUGGGGACCCAUCUCACCUCACUUCUGCCCUCCUUUCUGGUUCAUGACUCAGCCAUCCACUAACCUCCCGUGGUAGCACUGUGGCCACUCUGUAAACGACAGCACCACUGGUGUCUCAUUGGGGGCCAGUCUGGAAGAGGGAGACCACCCUAGGCAUUUCAGACAGAAGGGAUGGAAUACAGGCAUUGCUUACACAGAGGACGGACGAGCCGAGAUGCAGAAAGGCCAGGUGAAGCAUUGGCCACAGCUGGAGGCGCUCCACCCUAGGCCAGCGGGACAGAAGGAAGCUGGGUCCGAGAAGCCAGGGCUUGGAGCCACAGUGGGGGCUGCCUGGUAGGAGUUGACCAGGGAGGGAGGGUCUGUCGGGCGGGGGCGGGGGCUCUUUGCCUUCCGAUCCAAGCUCCGCCCUCUGCAGCUCUGCUCUGUGUAUCCCAGAGCUGACCCUGCGGCGCCUUUCCCAGGCUCGCGUCCGGUGAGUUCCUAUUGGCCAACGGGAGGCCCCGGUCGGGGAGCGCCCCGGGACAGGCCCCUGUGCCUCCCGCUUUGCGGAGUGACGCAGGCCCUGGGCUACAGCAACCUUACCAGCCCCUCCAGCUUAGAGGUGGCAGUGGCUCUCUGCGGCUGCGAUUUCUUUCUCGGAGCGUCCUCCCCAUCCCGUUCGGCCUCUGCCUCCACCGUCGUCUCUGUAACCCGUUCCCUGUGGGAGAGUCUCUGUUGCGGUGUUCAGGGGUUUCGGUUUUCUGGCUGAACAGUGAUUAACGCGAGGGAAGGCGCUGACGGCAAGGUGGCAGGAAGAACAUUCCAACACAGACCACAACACCUAUGGACCUGGAAAACAUUGUGCUCAGUGAAAGAAGCCAGACACAGAAGGACAAUGUUGUAUGAGGUCUUAUUCUGUUGCCCAGGCUGGACUGCAGUGGUGCAAUCCUAGCUCACUGCAGCUUCGACCUCCCGUGCUCAAGUGAUUUUCCCACCUCAGCCUCCCGAGUAGCUGGGACUACAGGUGCGUGCCACCACGCCUGGCUGAUUUUUCUUGUAUUUUUUUGUAGAGAUGGGGGUAUCGCUAUGUUGCCCAGGCUGGUCUUGAACACUUGGGCUCAAGUAAUUCUCCCGCCUUGGCCUCCCAAAGUGCUGGGAUUACAGGUGUGAGCCACUGUGCCUAGUGUGAAUGCAUUUAAUGCCACUGAAUUGUACACUUAAUAAUGGUGAAAAAUAUAAAUAUUCUGUUAAAUAUUUUACCACAAUAAAAAAAUGUGUGACAGUUGUCAGAAUCAAAAUGGUGUCACUAAUGUUUUUUUUUUUUUUUUUUUUUUUUUUUUUGAGAUGGAGUCUCGCUCUGUUGCCCAGGAGGGAGUGCAGUGGUGCGAUCUCGGCUCACUGCAAGCUCCGCCUCCCAGCUUCACACCAUUCUCCUGCCUCAGCCUCUUGGAGUAGCUGGGACUGCAGGCACCCGCCACCACGCCCAGCUAAUUUUUUGCAUUUUUAGUAGAGACGGGGUUUCAUCGUGGUCUCGAUCUCCUGACCUCGUAAUCCGCCCUCCUCAGCCUCCCAAAGUGCUGGGAUUACAAACGUGAGCCACCGCGCCUGGCCUGGUGUCACUAAUGUUAAGAAAACCUUCACAAAUAGAGGCAGACCAUGAAGAGAGGGGUCUCAUUCUUAUAUGCCUGAUAAAGAAAGACUUUAAGAACUACAACCCUUGGCGGGGUGCAGUGGCUCAUGUUUGUAAUCCCAGCACUUUGGGAAGCUGAGGCAGGUGGAAUACCUGGGGUCAUGAGUUCGAGACCAGCCUGGCCAAAAUGGUGUAACACUGUCUCUAUUAAAAAUACAAAAAAAAUUAGCCAGGCGUGGUGGCAGGCGCCUGUAAUCCCAGCUACUCAGGAGACUGAGUCAGGAGAAUCGCUUGAACCUGGGAGGUGAAGGUUGCAGUGAGCAGAGAUAGCACCACUGCAUUCCAGCCUGGGCAACAGAGUGAGACUCUGUCUCAAAAAAUUAAAAAAAAAAAAAAAAAAGAAGCCGGGUGCGGUGGCUCACGCCUGUAAUCCCAGCACUUUGGGAGGCCAAGGUGGAUGGAUCACAUGAGGUUGAGAGUUUGAGACCAGCCUGACCAACAUGGAGAAACCCCGCCUCUACUAAAAAUACAAAAUUAGCCAGGUGUGGUGGUGCAUGCCUGUAAUCCCAGCUACUCGGGAGGCUGAGACAGGAGAAUCGCUUGAACCCGGGAGAUGGAGGUUGCGAUGAGCUGAUAGUGUCAUUGCACUCCAGCCCAGGCAACAAGAGCAAAACUCUGUCUCAAAAAAGAAAAUAUUUAUUUUUAGAGACAAGGUCUUGCUCUGUCACCGAGGCUGGAGUGCAGUCAUAGCUCACUGGAGCCUUGAAGUCCUGGGCUCAGGCAGUCCUCCUGCCUCACCUCCCAAGUAUCUGAGACUACAGGCAGGCACCACUAUGUCCAGUUAAUUUUUAAAUUUUUUCAUAGAGAUGGAGUCUCACUAUGUUGCACAGGCUGGUCAGUCUAGACAAUUUUAAAUUAAAUAUGUAACUCACAUUAACAGGUCACAUUAUUUAUUUAUUUAUUUAUUUAUUUAUUGACACAGGGUCUCGCUCUGUUGUCCAAGCUGGAGUACAGUGGCACAAUUUCGGCUCACAGCAACCUCUGCCUCCCGGGUUCAAGCGAUUCCCCUGUCUCCGCCUCCCGAGUAGCUGGGAUUACAGGCGCCCACCACCACGCCCGGCUAAUUUUUGUAUUUUUAGUAGGGACAGGGUUUCACCAUGUUGGCCAGGCUGGUCUUGAACUCCUGGCCUCGUGAUCCACCCGCCUUGGCCUCUCAAAGUGCUGGGAUUACAGGCAUGAGCCACCAUGCCCAACCGCAGACAUCUUUUUGUUUUGUUUUUUUUUCUUUUUUUUUUUCUUUGGAGAUGGUGUCUCGCUCUGUUGCCCAGGAGGGAGUGCAGUGGCAUGAUACCUGCUCACUAUAGCCUCGAACUCCUGGAUUCAAGCGAUCCUCCCACCUCAGCCUCCUGAGUAGCUGGGCCUACAAAUGUGCAACACCACGCCUGGCUAAUUAAAAAGGUGACAGAGAGACCCUGUCUCAAAAAGCAAACAAACAAAAAACGACACAUGUGCGUGUGUGUGUGUGUGUGUGUGUGUCUGUGGAGAGAGAGAGAGAGAAAGAAGGAGAAUAUGAUACAUCAAAUGUAGUAAAAUGAAAACAUUUGGGAAAUAUUUGAAGUAUUUGUAACUUUUCUCUAAGUCUGAAAGUAUUUCAAAAUUAAAAAAAAAUUUAAAAGGUGAAUAGUGCCAGGUGUGUUGGUGCACGCCUGAAAUCCCAGCACUUUGGGAGGCCAAGGCAGGUAGAUCACCUGAGGUCAGGAGUUCGAGACCAGCCUGGCCAACAUGGAGAAACUCCGUGUCUACUAAAAAUACAAAAAUUAGCCAGGCAUGGUGGUGGGCACUUGUAGUCCCAGCUACUCGGGAGGCUGAGGCACGAGAAUUGCUUGAAUCUAGGAGGUGGAGGUUGCAGUGAGCUGAGAUUGCACCACUGCACUCCAGCCUGGGCGACAGAGCAAGACUCUGUCUCAAAAAAAAAAAAAAAAAAAAAUGGUGAAUAGUACCAAGCGGUGGUGGAAGAUAUGGGAUAUAAAACCCUUGGGCACAGCUGGUGUGAGUGGAGACGGGACAGCCUUUCUGUAGAGCACCUGGUACUUAGUCAAAUUAGUCCCCCCAUCCCCUACAACCUACUCUCAAGCCAAAGUCCCAGAGACAUCCUCACACCAGCCCUAGAGGGUGCAAGGAGGUGGCAGCUCACCUUAUCUGUGGUGGGGCAGGUUGGGGGUCACUUGGGUGUCUACCCCAGGGACUGGGCGGCUGAGACUGGGGACUGCUCAUAGAAAGGACCGUGGAUGAGCCACAGCUACAAAACCCUUCACACAAGUGUUCAUGCCACAAAGUAGCCACAUGUGUUUUGCAG